rnacentral:rRNA from 1 species
ACGGCGAGUGAAGCGGCAACAGCUCAAAUUUGAAAUCUGGCCUCACGGUCCGAAUUGUAAUUUGUAGAGGAUGUUUCUGGCGACGUGUCUUCCGAGUUCCCUGGAACGGGACGCCAUAGAGGGUGAGAGCCCCGUCCGGUCGUACACCUAGCCUCUGUGAAACUCCUUCGACGAGUCGAGUAGUUUGGGAAUGCUGCUCUAAAUGGGAGGUAUACGUCUUCUAAAGCUAAAUACCGGCCAGAGACCGAUAGCGCACAAGUAGAGUGAUCGAAAGAUGAAAAGCACUUUGAAAAGAGGGUUAAAUAGUACGUGAAAUUGCUGAAAGGGAAGCGCUUAUGACCAGACUUGGGCUCGGUGAAUCAUCCGGCGUUCUCGCCGGUGCACUUUGCCGUCCCAGGCCAGCAUCAGUUCGCGCCGGGGGAUAAAGGUUUCGGGAAUGUAGCUCCCUCGGGAGUGUUAUAGCCCGUUGCGUAAUACCCUGGCGUGGACUGAGGUCCGCGCUCUGCAAGGAUGCUGGCGUAAUGGUCAUCAGUGACCCGUCUUGAAACACGGACCAAGGAGUCGUCUUCGUAUGCGAGUGUUCGGGUGUCAAACCCCUACGCGUAAUGAAAGUGAACGUAGGAGAGAGCUUCGGCGCAUCUCCGACCGAUCCUGAUGUUCUCGGAUGGAUUUGAGUAAGAGCAUACGGGGCCGGACCCGAAAGAAGGUGAACUAUGCCUGUAUAGGGUGAAGCCAGAGGAAACUCUGGUGGAGGCUCGCAGCGGUUCUGACGUGCAAAUCGAUCGUCAAAUAUGGGCAUGGGGGCGAAAGACUAAUCGAACC